AAAGUGAUGGAAACCAUGUUAAAGGAUAGGAUUGUUGAACAUCUAAAAACACAUGGAUUUUAAGAUCAGAGACAACAUGGGUUUACUUCAGGGAGAUCAUGCCAAACUAAUCUUAUUGAUUUUUUUGAUUGGGUAACUAAAAUUAUAGAUCAGGGUGGUGCAGUAGACAUUGCUUACCUAGAUUUCAGUAAGGCUUUUGACACUGUUGCACAUAGAAGGCUUAUCAAUGAACUGCAAUCUUUAAG